AUUGAACGCUGGCGGCAGGCCUAACACAUGCAAGUCGAGCGAGCGGCGGACGGGUGAGUAAUGUAUUGGGACUGCCCGAUAGAGGGGGAUAACUACUGGAAACGGUAGCUAAUACCGCAUACUAUCGGAUACCCCAUAUGGGAUUAGCUAUUAGGUGAGGUAAUGGCUCACCUAGGCGACGAUCCCUAGCUGGUCUGAGAGGAUGAUCAGCCACAUGGGAACUGAGAAACGGCCCAGAACCCUACGGAGGCAUGGGGGGGGAUUGUUGGCCAAUGGGGGCAAGACGGAUGAAGCCAGGCCGCGGGUAUUAAGAAGGCCCUAGGGUUGUAAGGUACUGUGAGUCGGGAGGCGGUACCGACAGAGGAAGCACCGGCUAAAUCCGUGCCAGCAGCCGCGGUAAUAC
rnacentral:rRNA from 1 species